GGCUUAGUGGCUUAAUGGUUAGCACGUUUGUCUUGCACCUCUGGGGUUGGGGGUUCAAAUCCCACCCCCGCCU